UUAGGUCUGGAUCACCUCCUUAAGUCUUGGAUCCCGGGGGUCCGACCACUGCAUUGAAAUCUUGCUCUCAAGAACUUAACGGCGGACGGGUGAGUAACACGUGGGUAACCUGCCCAUAAGACUGGGAUAACUCCGGGAAACCGGGGCUAAUACCGGAUAAUAUUUUGAACUGCAUGGUUCGAAAUUGAAAGGCGGCUUCGGCUGUCACUUAUGGAUGGACCCGCGUCGCAUUAGCUAGUUGGUGAGGUAACGGCUCACCAAGGCAACGAUGCGUAGCCGACCUGAGAGGGUGAUCGGCCACACUGGGACUGAGACACGGCCCAGACUCCUACGGGAGGCAGCAGUAGGGAAUCUUCCGCAAUGGACGAAAGUCUGACGGAGCAACGCCGCGUGAGUGAUGAAGGCUUUCGGGUCGUAAAACUCUGUUGUUAGGGAAGAACAAGUGCUAGUUGAAUAAGCUGGCACCUUGACGGUACCUAACCAGAAAGCCACGGCUAACUACGUGCCAGCAGCCGCGGUAAUACGUAGGUGGCAAGCGUUAUCCGGAAUUAUUGGGCGUAAAGCGCGCGCANGUGGUUUCUUAAGUCUGAUGUGAAAGCCCACGGCUCAACCGUGGAGGGUCAUUGGAAACUGGGAGACUUGAGUGCANAAGAGGAAAGUGGAAUUCCAUGUGUAGCGGUGAAAUGCUUAAAGAUAUGGAGGAACCCCAUGGGCGAAGGCGACUUUCUGGUUCUGUACUGACACUGAAGGCCCAAAACCGUGGGGACCAAACAGGAUUAAAUCCCCGGUUAAUCCACCCGUAAAACAUUAUUGGUAGUUGUUAAAGGGUUCCCCCCUUUAUGCUUAAAGUAACCCUUUACCCCC
rnacentral:rRNA from 1 species